AUCCUCGUGGCGGAAGCGGCAGACGCAUCCGGCUCAGAACCGGUACAUUGCAGGUUCAAAUCCUGUCGGGGAUACCA
rnacentral:tRNA from 1 species